GUCAGUGUGGCAGACUAGUGCGAUGAACUUAAAAUUCAUAUAUAAAUAUUAAUUAUUUUUCUGAAA
rnacentral:tRNA from 1 species